GCGUCCUUGGUGUAAGGGAAACAUGCAUCUUCAAAGUUCCAACGUUCGUUUAAAAUACGCAAGAUGAGAGCGGGGUUCGACUCCCCGAGGGCACA